GACAGAGGGUGCUAGCGUUGUUCGGAAUUACUGGGCGUAAAGGGCGCGUAGGCGGUCUGCUAAGUUCGGUGUGAAAUCUCCGGGCUUAACUCGGAAACUGCCAUUGAUACUAUCUGUCUUGAAUACCGUGGAGGUUAGCGGAAUAUGUCAUGUAGCGGUGAAAUGCUUAGAUAUGACAUAGAACACCAAUUGCGAAGGCAGCUGGCUACACGAAUAUUGACACUGAUGCACGAAAGCGUGGGGAUCAAACAGG
rnacentral:rRNA from 1 species